CCUACGGGUGGCAGCAGUGGGGAAUAUUGGGCAAUGGGCGCAAGCCUGACCCAGCAACGCCGCGUGAAGGAAGAAGGCUCUCGGGUUGUAAACUUCUUUUGACAGGGAAGAGUAGAAGACGGUACCUGUCGAAUAAGCCACGGCUAACUACGUGCCAGCGGCCGCGGUACUACGUAGGUGGCAAGCGUUGUCCGGAUUUACUGGGUGUAAAGGGCGUGUAGGCGGGUUGACAAGUCAGAGGUGAAAUCCUGCGGCUUAACCGGAGAACUGCAUGUGAAACUGUUGAUCUUGAGUGCUGGGGAGGCAGACGGAAUUACUGGUGUAGCGGUGAAAUGCGUAGAUAUUAGGAGGAACACCAGUGGCGAAGGCGGUCUGCUGGACAGCAACUGACGGUGAGGCGCGAAAGCGUGGGGAGCAAACAGGAGUAGAUACCCGAGUAGUC
rnacentral:rRNA from 1 species